AAAUUUUAAUUUGGUGAAGUCAGGUUGUAUUUUUCAAAAAUACUAAAUAACGUAAACCUUAAACCAUAACCCCUAUCCUGAAAACCAUCAACCGUAAACUCUAUUCCUUAGACCCUAAACCGUAAACCCUUAACCCUUAAACCUUAAACCCACGAACCCUAAACAAUAAUGUAUAAACCUAAAACCCUAAAUUAACCUAGGCCCUCUUAUCUCUUCAACCCUAAAUUUUAAACCUGUAAAUCAUAAACCAUGACCCUUAACCCCUAACACCUACACCCUAAGCCCCAACCUCAAAUGAUAAACCACAAACCAUAAUGCAUAAACCCUUAACCCAUAUCCCCUAAACCUUGAAUCAUAAAACAUUAACUGUAAACCCUCAAACCCUUAGCCCUUAACCCUAAACACUUAAACCUUAAAUCCCAACUAUUGCACCAUAAUCCCUAAACCCUUAACCUGGCCAUAUUCCUUAAACCCCGAAUCAUA
rnacentral:lncRNA from 1 species